rnacentral:rRNA from 1 species
GACGUAGGGCGCGAGCGUUGUCCGGAUUUAUUGGGCGUAAAGAGCUCGUAGGCGGUGUGUCACGUCGGCCGUGAAAACCUGCAGCUUAACUGUGGGCGUGCGGUCGAUACGGGCAUCACUGGAGUUCGGCAGGGGAGACUGGAAUUCCUGGUGUAGCGGUGAAAUGCGCAGAUAUCAGGAGGAACACCAGUGGCGAAGGCGACUUCCUGGCCUGUUCUUGACGCUGAGGUGCGAAAGCGUGGGGAGCAAACAGG